GACAGAGGGUGCAACCGUUGCUCGGAAUCACUGGGCGUAAAGGGCGCGUAGGCGGGGAUGUAAGUCGGGCGUGAAAUCCCCAGGCUCAACCUGGGAACUGCACUCGAAACUGCGUUUCUUGAGUAUCGGAGAGGAAAGCGGAAUUCCUGGUGUAGAGGUGAAAUUCGUAGAUAUCAGGAGGAACACCAGUGGCGAAGGCGGCUUUCUGGACGGUAACUGACGCUGAGGCGCGAAAGCGUGGGGAGCAAACAGG
rnacentral:rRNA from 1 species